CUCCGCCUUUCGAAUGUUCCCAGGCACAGCCUCAUCUACCAUAUCUUUUGACAGAACCGGACUAACAAGCAUGUCCUCAUCUUCCGCACGCUCAUUGGCUUCUUGCAGACCUUCGACUAGUUUCGCAUAUUCAUCCUCCAGCUUCUUCGCAUCGGUCUCCUUAAUUUCCGCAAUCUUGUCACUAAGUUUAUUGACACUUCUUGCUGCCGAAUCCAACAUUGGCCUUGUCAAAUCGAUGGAUAGGGACUCGAUACAGACAUUAUCUGAACACGAUCGGAGACCUGCUCCGCGACCUUUGGAUCCAGGAGAUAAUGGAAGGAGUAUAUCACAACGUCAAGGAAGGGCAACUUCAUUUCUGAUAAUUAGCCUCAAGAGCGUUGCAUUAUGAACCCUAC
rnacentral:sRNA from 1 species